rnacentral:rRNA from 1 species
GACGAACGCUGGCGGCGUGCUUAACACAUGCAAGUCGAACGGUGAAGCGCCUUCCUUUUUGGUGGGUGUGGAUGAGUGGCGAACGGGUGAGUAACACGUGAGUAACCUGCCCCCUUCUUCUGGAUAACCGCAUGAAAGUGUGGCUAAUACGGGAUAUUCUGGGUCUGUCGCAUGAUGGGUCUGGGAAAGAUAUUGUUUCGGUGGGGGAUGGGCUCGCGGCCUAUCAGCUUGUUGGUGGGGUGAUGGCCUACCAAGGCGGUGACGGGUAGCCGGCCUGAGAGGGUGGACGGUCACACUGGGACUGAGACACGGCCCAGACUCCUACGGGAGGCAGCAGUGGGGAAUAUUGCACAAUGGGCGCAAGCCUGAUGCAGCGACGCCGCGUGAGGGAUGGAGGCCUGCGGGUUGUGAACCCCUUUCGCCAGUGAAGCAGGCCUGCCUCGUUUGUGGGUGGGUUGACGGUAGCUGGAGAAGAAGCGCCGGCUAACUACGUG